rnacentral:rRNA from 1 species
AUUGAACGCUGGCGGCAUGCCUUACACAUGCAAGUCGAACGGCAGCGCGGGCUUCGGCCUGGCGGCGAGUGGCGAACGGGUGAGUAAUAUAUCGGAACGUGCCUUAGAGUGGGGGAUAACUAGUCGAAAGACUAGCUAAUACCGCAUACGACCUACGGGUGAAAGUGGGGGAUCGCAAGACCUCAUGCUCUUAGAGCGGCCGAUAUCUGAUUAGCUAGUUGGUGGGGUAAAGGCCUACCAAGGCGACGAUCAGUAGCUGGUCUGAGAGGACGACCAGCCACACUGGGACUGAGACACGGCCCAGACUCCUACGGGAGGCAGCAGUGGGGAAUUUUGGACAAUGGGGGCAACCCUGAUCCAGCAAUGCCGCGUGUGUGAAGAAGGCCUUCGGGUUGUAAAGCACUUUUGUUCGGAAAGAAAUCGCCCUGGCUAAUACCUGGGGUGGAUGACGGUACCGGAAGAAUAAGCACCGGCUAACUACGUGCCAGCCGCCGCAGUAACAC